GAUGAACGCUGGCGGCGUGCCUAAUACAUGCAAGUCGAGCGAACGGACGAGAAGCUUGCUUCUCUGAUGUUAGCGGCGGACGGGUGAGUAACACGUGGAUAACCUACCUAUAAGACUGGGAUAACUUCGGGAAACCGGAGCUAAUACCGGAUAAUAUUUUGAACCGCAUGGUUCAAAAGUGAAAGGCGGUCUUGCUGUCACUUAUAGAUGGAUCCGCGCUGCAUUAGCUAGUUGGUAAGGUAACGGCUUACCAAGGCAACGAUGCAUAGCCGACCUGAGAGGGUGAUCGGCCACACUGGAACUGAGACACGGUCCAGACUCCUACGGGAGGCAGCAGUAGGGAAUCUUCCGCAAUGGGCGAAAGCCUGACGGAGCAACGCCGCGUGAGUGAUGAAGGUCUUCGGAUCGUAAAACUCUGUUAUUAGGGAAGAACAUAUGUGUAAGUAACUGUGCACAUCUUGACGGUACCUACUCAGAAAGCCACGGCUAACUACGUG
rnacentral:rRNA from 1 species